rnacentral:rRNA from 1 species
GACGAACCGAGCGAACGUUGUUCGGAAUCACUGGGCUUAAAGGGCGCGUAGGCGGGUGCUCAAGUCCGUGGUGAAAUCCUCCGGCUCAACCGGAGAACUGCCUCGGAUACUGGGUGCCUCGAGGGUGGUAGGGGUAUGCGGAACUAUCGGUGGAGCGGUGAAAUGCGUUGAUAUCGAUAGGAACACCUGCGGCGAAGGCGGGUUGCUGGGCUGACACUGACGCUGAAGCGCGAAAGCUAGGGGAGCGAACGGG